AAUUCUAAAAUUUCACCUAUAAUAUACCGUCCCAUAUUAUUAUCAACCCAAAUCAGUUUAAGAUUUCAUCCGUAGUAUAAAGUUUAAAUAUUUAUAAUGUUUAAACUUUCUAUAUAAGACUCGAGAUGUGUUUUAAAAAUAAA
rnacentral:sRNA from 1 species